rnacentral:tRNA from 1 species
GCUUUUGUAAAAACCUAUUCUUUUAACGUUUUUUAGGAUUGCCUAUUUUUGCUCGCUUUUUUGUUAAGGCAAAAGCUCCA